rnacentral:rRNA from 1 species
UACGUAGGGUGCAAGCGUUGUCCGGAAUUAUUGGGCGUAAAGAGCUCGUAGGCGGUUUGUCGCGUCUGCUGUGAAAUCCCGAGGCUCAACCUCGGGCCUGCAGUGGGUACGGGCAGACUAGAGUGCGGUAGGGGAGAUUGGAAUUCCUGGUGUAGCGGUGGAAUGCGCAGAUAUCGGGAAGAACACCCGUGGCGAAGGCGGCACUCUGGGACGGUACUGACGCUGAGACGCGAAAGCGUGGGGAGCGAACAGG